GGAUGUCAGACACAUGAAAAGCAAUGGCAGCUGUGGCAAGUUAGUUGAUAUAUUUUAAAAUAAACCAAGAGGGCCAUGUAGCUGCCAAGGGAAGAAAUUGUUCUCUUUAGCAACAAGUGAUUUAUUUAACUACUGUGGAUGGAGUCCAAGGGAUGCCAAGCUGCAUACAUUUCUGAAAAAGCUGAGCUAUUUUCUCAGAAAUCUCUCAUGUGGGACCAAAAUAAGAGCAGGAGAAGCUUAUGAAAGAUUAAUUAAAUUCUUGAUUUGGGAAUGACCCCCAAGGAGUGACUUUUAUUUCCCCCGUGCUGCAAAACUGACCUCGUAUCAUUUCUGGAGGUGAGACGUGUUUCCAACGCAUCAGGUAUUAGCACCGAACCAGCGUCCUGAGCUUCAUGCAAACUGCAGCCACAGCCUUUCGCCCUUGUUCGCCAUGGAGGGCAAAACCUGGGGAUUCCGGGAGUGUGGUGAGCAGGAAGACAGACGCCUGCCAUCUCGCUCCUUCCUCUCGCCAUUCAACCUUGGUUGGUGAACGUCAGAUGCAAGGUAAUCAAUAUGUAUGAAUAGAUUGGAAUCUAAAGUUGCAGAAGGACAGCAGAGCUGCUUCAAGCACAGGCUCUGGGAGCAGAAGGCCCAGGUUGGCCUCCCGAUUCUGCCACUUUCUCACUGGGUGACUGUGAGCGAGUUUCUGGCCUCUCUGAACCUCCGCUUUCUCAUCUGUGGAUGAAGGGAGAGAUCGGACUGACCAAGGACCGUCGCUGGGAAGUCAUAAGAGUUACUGCGCAUGCAAAGAGGACCGCCUGCGACUGUCCCUGCUCUUUGAUCAUGCUCAUUGAUCAUUGUCUUCUCAUUGAUCAUUCCCUCUCCAUCGGCUCAUUCCUUUCUGCAAACACAGGUGCUGUAAAAGUUCCCUUGAAAAAGAAUCUUGGAUCCUAUAAAUCGUUUUGACCUUAUGCCUUUUCUCUCAUUGAGGUCAAAACUCCUGGCAAAAAAUGUUCAUUUGCUCUUUGAUCCCCUCUGGCCAGACAUUUAUCUUGAUUAUUCCAAUGAAACAAUUUAGCAAAAUCACCAGAGGCCUCCAUCUUGCCUAAUCUAAAGGUCAUUUCUAAAGGUCCUCUCAUGGGACACAUUGUUUCAGCAGCACUUGACCUAUUCUCCAUUCUGUCAUUCUUCCUGGAUUCUCUUCUUCCUCCCCUGAACACUCUUUCCUAGGCAGGCACAUGCUCCCUGGAGGGCCCCUGGAUUCAGUUGCUGAAGCUCUUCCCUCCUCCUUCUACCUCCCUGGAUGAUUUCAUCCAGUCUCAUUUUAGCUGCAAAUACAGAUUCAGAUACAUGGCUGUGACUCUCCCAGGUCAGCACCUCCAGGCCCUGCAUUUUCCCUGGAAUCCCCUGGACUUGAACUCAUUUCUCAUAUUUCCACUUGGAUGAACAGUAGGCUUCUCAGUCUUAAUACAGUCAAGCUUCAUUAUUCAUGGAUCCCUUAUUUGUGAAUUUGCCUACUUGCUAAAAUAUAUCCAUGACCCCGAAACCAGUACUUGUGGUGUUUGAACAGUCCUUGGUGAGAUGUGUGCACACAUGAAAAAUCUGAGUCGCCCAAUAAGCACAUUCCAGCUGAAGUCCAAGGUGGCUAUUCUCUGCCUUCUUGUUUCAGCUCGUUUCCACUCACCAUGGGAGUAAGUGUCCUUUGUGAUCUAUUUAAUGUCAUGUUCUUGUGCUUUUGGUGGUGAUUUCACUGUUUAAAGUGGUUCCAAAGAGUUGUGCUGAAGUGCUUAUCUGUGUUCGUAGGUGAAAGAAGGCUAUGGCGGUCCUUACGGAGCAAAUACGUGGUGGGUGGUAAGCAAACAUGAUAAGCUUCACUCAGGCAAUGUGCUAUAAUGCUGUUGGCUCUGUGUUCAAAGAUAAUGAAUGAACAAUAUAUAUUAAGUAAGGCAUCUUUAAAUAAAAGCAUAUAUAAAAAAGGACCAUGUGUUGAUCAGCUGAUGAAGAUAUUUGCCAUCGGGGCUCACAGAAGGCUAACCCUGUAUUUCCCUAUCAGCAGUUGUUCAGUAUUCAUUAAUUCAGCCUUCAUGGUGACUUUGUAGAAAACUAUUGAAAAUCGUGAGGAUUGAAUGCAUAACCAAAACUGAACUAUGUAUUCCACCCACCCCAUUCUUACAUCAGAAAAUAACUUCAUUCUUCCAGUAACUUAGGUCAAUUACCUUUGUUCAUCUUUUCCUCUCACCUCCCACAUGCAGUGUAUCGGCCAGUCCUUUCAUAUCUUCCUUUGAAAUUGUUCCACCUCUUGUACCGUCAUCGUUUCAAGCCUGGGCCAAACCGUGACCACCUUGAUGGUGGCAGUAGCAUCUGGCUUGGUUACCCCAGCCGUGACGAUGCUCACCCCGACCCGCAGGAAAGUCACAUCGUAUCAUUAUCUGCUGACACCUUUCCAGUGGCUUCUCCUCUCACCCAGAGCAAAGGCCAAUGUCCUCACCAUGGACUUCAGCUACCCUGGUGUCUUUGCUGAUCCUCUAAUGCAUCAUGUAUGAAUUGUGGAGAAGACAGCUUUCUUCUCGAAGGAUGAGGUGCCUUUUGAAAAUUUUUGUUCCCGUGCAGGAUGCACGACGGUGAAAUGACCCUUCAGCCAACCACGGUAUGGUGAGUCCGCAUUCAGCAGGGUACUCACAGUUGGACACAAUACUGUGGAAACGGCUGAAACACAUGGUGAACAUUCAAGAAUCUGACCCUGUGUUGAUGCAAACUAAGCAGAAGCACAUCUUCUGGGAACUAGGACCCGGAGACACACAGAGCCCAGACUUGCAGGAACAGAAGUAGAAAUUUCCUAAGUGGGUCACUGGGAGCGAUGAAGGACCACCCCCACUUCCGCCUUGUUUCCCAGACCCGUCUAUUCUACCUGUUGGAGGCACAGCCCAACAUAGUGGCUGUUGAUUUAUGGCAGCUCGUCUUUACAAGGAUUCCUCAUGAUAGUUAAAUCCUAACGCCCUAAUACAUCCUUUAUAUGUAUGGAUUAACUUUCUUCCUUAAAGUUUAAAAUCAUAUUACCUAUUGGACCAUUCUUGGAAAAAUUGAGAAAAUAGUCACUCAGAUAAUUUUUAGAGUGGCUUAAAUCUCUUAUGGAAUUCUGGCCGAGAGAGAUUGAGGGUAUGCCCUGUACCCUAAAGGAUGACAUUUCAUGUACAUAAGGUAGUAUAUCCAAGCAGGGCCUGUGUUUUUAAAAGACCUAUUAAGCUAGCAGCCUCUUGGUAGCACACUUUGUGAUAAUUAUGGUCAUAUGCCCAAUGCUACACCUCCUGUGCUACAAAGAAGUGGUUCUCAGACUUAGUGUGCAUUAGAAUCAUUUGGAGGACUUGUUCAAACACAGACUUCUGGGCCCUACCUCAGUCUCAUUCAGAUUCUUGGGUCCCACCCCAAAUUUGCAUUUCUAAUAAGUUCCCAGGAAUGAUGAUGAUGCUACUGGUCCAGGGACCACGCUUUGAAAACCACUGUUGUAAAGUGAGUUCCUAUGUCCAGUGUAUUGUUAUACAAGAUCAUUAAGUCAAUGGAUCAGACAUCCUGUAAGUCCUUGGAUAGUAGUCCAGGCUGAGGCUCUGGGAAAGACAAACCCAUAUCCCGAAUAUGUGCCACUGUCCUUUCCAGGUGGAAGGGGCCAGUGUAAUUAACUUGCUAUCAAGUGGCUGGUUGAUACCCUUGAGGAGUGGGAUCACAUCGGUGUGGACAUAGCAGAGUGAGCAUUUGGCAGUGGGAGUAUCUAGGUCAAGCCCAGGCUGUCGAGCCCAUGCAUAGCCUGCAGCCAUGCUCCUGUGGUACUCCAUUCACGCUCUGAUUGUGCCCACACUGGAGUGGGUGAUGACAGAGGCUUACUUAUGUCAACUACCUGUAUCAUUCUGUCUACUUGACAUUUUAGUGCUUUGUUUAUGCUUGAUACAUAAACAUAUCUGGCAUAAAGAUAUGUUACCAUAAAUACUAUAUCUGGUAUGUAGAUAAUAUGUGAUACAAAGAUUUUCACAUUGGUGUUCACUCCCAUUGUCUCUUGAAUUUGUUAAGACUUAUUUUAUGGUCUAACAUAUGAUCUAUUCUAGAAAAUGUUCUGUGUGCUU